GAUAAAGUCCAAGAUUUUAUGAGAAUUCAUAAAGUUGUCUUCAAUAGAGAAGAACAUUUUGGGUUAAUAGUUAUGUCUCAGGUGUCCUAUUCCUCUGACAAUCCUGCCAUAAAGUUGUGUAUAAAAGUUGAACAAGGGCGGUGUGAACAGUCAUAGCUUUUACAACUCUUGACUCAUCACUGACACAGACAGAAAAACACAACAAGAUGCUUUGUGAAAGCUCUCUAAGGAGCAUGGGUUACCAGGAGCACAUUCAGCAAAUAGAGAGCCACUCGAGGGGUAUAGUCCUGCGUGAGCUUGUAUCAGACCAUGAACACUCUACAGAGCAGAAUGUCCACUUCUGUAAGCCACAGAGAAUACGAGUCUACACUCGCUGCUUUGAUCACAGCCAGCCUUCUGAAAGCCAUCAUACAGAGCGUCGAAAAAUAACAACAGCACAAAUCUUCAUGAAGUCAGAAUAGAGAGCAUGAUAUUGUUCAUCAUUUCAGCCCAAAGAUGGUUUUCAGAAAUCUGUUAUUAUCCUCUGUGCUUUCCAGCAUCUUGGUGACACUGCCUGGGAAUCCUCCAGAGGAUGCAAGUUUCUACUAAACAAAAACAGCGACUAACCCGGGCGUCUGUCCACAGAGGAUAGGAGGAGACAACCUGCUUUCUUCUGUACUCUGUAUGCUGUAAUUGACUGAAACUGACUAAAAUGGCCCUCAUUCUAAUGGACAAAACAGGGAAAAGAAAAGAAACUAGAAAUACAUGAUGAGUGAAUGUGGAUGUUACUGUAUAGGUCAGUGUCUCCAACACGGUUACUAUUAACAAUACACUUUUAUUCAGUUCAUUCACAUAGUUAUUUAAAUUACAGUCACGGACAACAUCUAUUUAGCAAAUAUAUUGAAGUAUGUUCAUUGUUUAUCACUCUUUAUUAAACUUCUGAAACUUGUUAUUUGUUCAUGCUAGAGUUAAUGGGUUAGUGAACAUUUUGCUUUCUUUUUACUAGGAAUUUUUAGUUGAACUCGCUUUUUAAUAUGUCUUUGAAUACCAGGAGUAUGCAUGACAUGGUAAAGUAGAUUUUAUUUUAUUUGAUUUGAUUUUCCCCAAGAAACACAAGGCUAGAAGAGUGAGGAAAAAGCUAAUUUGAUAAGAGCUCAGUUUCAUGUUUCUUAUCACAGAUUCGGUUUUCUUACACUUCUUACACUUCAAGUUUGAUUUGAUUUUUUUUUGUUUUAUACAGUACCUUCAUGAUUGUGAUGACAUUGAUGUGAAAACAAAUAAUCUGGUGAAGGAUACAGUGAAAUACCUGGUCAUUCAUAUAAUGAAAAACCUUGCAGCCAGACGCCUUGGUAAGAUUUUUUUUUUUUUUUUUUUUUUAAGGGAAUAUAUUCAAUUUGUGGCUUGAAAGAGAUUUAUCUUUAUAUGGUAGAGUUCUCUUCUCCAAGGCUGAAGAACUAUCCCAUUUUAUACAUCCUUCAUUUUUUUUCUGUUAAUGACUCCGUUGAGAGUGAAGUAAAUCAAAUGUAUUCGAUUUUAUUAGUGGAAAAAAAAAAGAGAAUAUAACAAAAUUAAAAACAUAUCAUGGAUGUGUCUCAUAGCAGAGCAGACUGAAAUGACAAAUUCAUUUGUUAAAACAAUAUUUUAACAAAACUAAUGAGUUUCCCGUUUAAAAUUUAAUUAUUCGCCUAAUAAAUUGCCAGUGACUUUCUAUUUGAUUAAUUAGAAGUCAGUGUUUUUCCUGGUAAUUACAUAGAACAAUAGAAUAAGUAUUAGCUUCCAGCUGUCCUGUAUUUGGAUGACGUUGGUAGUAUAUUGUCACAUGGACAAUUGCGCAUAACAUCUCUGUUGCUUUGAUUAAAUAUAAACUGUUGAUUAAUGACAGGUGGGGACAUGGUGGCUUAGUGAUUAGCCCAUUUACCUCACACCUCAGGGGUUGGGGGUUUGAAUCCCACCUCCACCCUGCGUACGCAGAGCUUGCAUGUUCUCCCCGUGCUCCAGGGGUUCCCUCCAGGCACCCUGCUUUCUUCCCCCAGUCCAAAGACAUGCACUGGCGUUUCCAGAUUGUCUGUGGUGUGUGUGAAUGUGUCUACAGUUGUGCCCUGUGAUGGGUUGGCACCCUGGCCAGGGUGUCCUGAGUUCCCUGGGAUAGGCUUCAGGCUGCCCAUGACCCUGUGCAGGACAAGCGGUAUGGAAAAUGGAUGAAUUAGAGACAGUCAAACUGGACAAAUUUACUGGUCAGUGGUAGCUCAGUGGUUAAGACAUUGGACUACUGAUCGGAUGGUCAUGAGUUCAAGCUGCCACUGCUGGGCCCUUAAGCAAGGCCCUUAACCCUCAACCGCUCAUCUGUAUUUAUAAAAAAAAAAAAAAAAAAGUAAGUUGCUCGGGAUAAGGGCGUCUGCCAAAUGUUGGUUAAGUUGUGCACAGGGUGAUAUAAUACAGCUUUUUUUGCUUCUUAUAAAAUCACUGUAACAAAACAAGAUCAUUUCUUACUCUUAUUUUUGUUCAGAUUUGCAUUUUGGUAUGUACAGUAUAUUUGUUAAUUAUUUAAUAAAGCUCUAUGUGUCCAUGUGGCCACUGUUAGUGAUAUUGGCCACUAGAGGGCGCGCGGAGCUCCUGCCACUGGACAGUGAGGAAAAUGUGAAACACAAUGCAUGCUAAAUGUUUUAAAAAAAAUUUAAAACAAUUUAAAAAGCAAAAUCAUUAUACUUCAUUAUACUUGUCAAUGUUUUAUCUCUUAUCUCAAAUUAAAGGAACACGGUUUGCCAUUUU